CCGACUGUAAACGGUGCAUACUGGGCGUGGGGGGCUUCACCCCCUCCGUGCCGCAGCUAACGUGUUAAGUAUGCCGCCUGGGGAGUACGGCCGCAAGGCUAAAACUCAAAGAAAUUGACGGGGGCCCGCACAAGCGGAGGAGCAUGUGGCUUAAUUCGAUGCAACGCGAAGAACCUUACCUGGGUUUGACAUGUACCUGCACGUCCCGUGAAAACGGGAUUCCUUCGAGGGUGGUACACAGGUGC
rnacentral:rRNA from 1 species